UCUCCGUAGGUGAACCUGCGGAGGGAUCAUUACUGAGCGAGGGCCUCCGGGCCCGACCUCCAACCCUUUUGUGAACCACCUCGUUGCUUCGGGGGCGACCCUGCCUUUCGGCGCUGCGCCCCGGAGGCUCAUCAAACACUGCAUCUUUGCGUCGGAGUUUAAACAAAUUAAACAAAACUUUCAACAACGGAUCUCUUGGUUCGGGCAUCGAUGAAGAACGCAGC
rnacentral:misc_RNA from 1 species